AGGAAUGACCACAUGAGAACACAGUGAGAAGACAGCUAUCUGCAAGCCAGGAAGAGAGCCCUCACCUGCAACUGAAUUGGCCGGCCCCUUGAUCUUAGACUUCAGCCUCUGGAACUACUGAGAUUUCUGGUAUUCUUGACUUCCCCAUCUCCUCUGAAAAGCACCCUUCAGCUAUCAGCACGGGAGCCAUGGAAAUGAGCAUGUGGAUUCUAAGAAGCCUUCAAUAUAUGCUCAAAGGAAACUCAAACAGAAAAAAACAGCCUCAAUGAACAAAAAAAAAUAUGAAGCUUUUGGAGAAGAAUGCUCUUUCUCUACUUCUGAGAUGCAGUGCAGCACAAGGAAUUUUAUUUAUAUCAGUGAUUCUCAAACUUUGGAAGGUGUCAUAAUCCCUUGGGGAGCUCAUUUGUAAUUUAGAUACCUGCUCCUCACAUCCUUGGAUGUUCUGAUUCAGUAGGUUUGGAUAAAACCUGUGGUCUCACUCCCUGUUUCCAGGAUUCUCUAUGCCCUUCUCAGCUUUACUUUCCUUCACAGUACCUGUCACUUUCUAAGAUAUUAGACAUAUAAAUUAUCUAAUGUGUAUGUUGUCUCUGUCAGUAUCCUCCUAUCUGUUUUGUUCACGAGAAUGGUGUCUGGUACACAGUGAUGUUUGCAGGGAAGAAAGGAAAGCAGACAGGGU
rnacentral:lncRNA from 10 species